UUGUGAUGCAGUUAACCAAAAGCAGCUCGGCCGUGGGAUGCAGUUGGUUUCGCGCAUACUGAAUGUUACCGGGAGAGGUUCCUGAUAAUUUCUCUGACUCCCAUCAUUACCGUAAUAAUUUCGCUACUUGUCGGACUACAUUUCAAGCACCCUCGCGGCGCCAAGAUUUGUGGCGCAGUUAACCAAAAGCAGCUCGGCCGUGGGAUGCAGUUAGUUUCGCGUGUACUGCAUGUUACCGGGACAGGUUCGUGACGCUUUCUCAUACCCCCAUCAUUACCGUAAGAAUUU
rnacentral:lncRNA from 1 species